AACGAACGUUAGCGGCGCGCCUAACACAUGCAAGUCGAGCGAGAAAGGGCUUCGGCCCCGGUAAAGCGGCGCACGGGUGAGUAACACGUGGAUAACCUACCCCUUGGUGGUGGAUAACCUUCCGAAAGGAGGGCUAAUACAGCGUAAGACCACGACUUCGAAAGAGGUUGAGGUAAAGUGGGCCUCUGUACACAAGCUCACGCCAGGGGAUGGGUCCGCGGCCCAUCAGCUAGUUGGUAGGGUAACGGCCUACCAAGGCGAAGACGGGUAGCUGGUCUGAGAGGAUGAUCAGCCACACUGGAACUGAGACACGGUCCAGACUCCUACGGGAGGCAGCAGUGGGGAAUCUGCGCAAUGGACGAAGUCUGACGCAGCGACGCCGCGUGAGUGAUGAAGGCCUUCGGGUU
rnacentral:rRNA from 1 species